CCCUUAGAUGUUCUGGGCCGCACGCGCGCUACACUGUUUGAUUCAGCGAGUCUUAACCUUGACCGAAAGGUUUGGGUAAUCUUCUAAAGUCAAACGUGAUGGGGAUCGAUCAUUGCAAUUAUUGAUUGUGAACGAGGAAUUCCUAGUAAAUGCAAGUCAUCAGCUUGCGUUGAUUACGUCCCUGCCCUUUGUACACACCGCCCGUCGCUACUACCGAUUGAAUGGUUUAGUGAGAUCUCCGGAUUGGCUCUGUAGGUCCCGCAAGGGAUUUAUUAGUAGCCAAGAAGCUGCUCAAACUUGAUCAUUUAGAGGAAGUAAAAGUCGUAACA
rnacentral:rRNA from 1 species